rnacentral:lncRNA from 1 species
GCUUUUUGGAUAAUGCAAUUAUGAUUGUUGCUGGAACCCAUAUUGAAAUGUCUAUUGGAAUUAUUUUGGGAAUUUCAACUAUGGCAGCUGCUGCUUUGGGAAAUCUUGUGUCAGAUCUAGCUGGACUUGGACUUGCAGGCUAUGUUGAAGCAUUGGCUUCCAGGUUAGGCCUGUCAAUUCCUGAUCUCACACCAAAGCAAGUUGACAUGUGGCAAACACGUCUUAGUACACAUUUGGGCAAAGCUGUUGGGGUGACUAUUGGCUGCAUUCUAGGAAUGUUUCCUUUAAUUUUCUUUGGAGGAGGUGAAGAAGAUGAAAAACUGGAAACGAAAAGUUAAUCCUCUUAGAAUACCUAUAAAAAGAUGUAAACUAAUGUACCUCAUGGUCCUUAUGCUGGAUUCAUUUAUCUUGAAGGAUGGGCAACUACAACUGCAGACCAGUACACGUCAAGCAAUUUAACUUUUUCUUGUAAUGUCAUGACUUUGCUCCUUGGGAGCACUUCCAGCAUCACUAGUGGGACUUCAUAUGGGUCCCUUGGUAUUAUUGCAAGGUUUAUGGUUGUACUAAACAUGAUGAAAAAUAACUGAGAACCAUGAGAGAUCACUUUUUACUACGAUACACGAUUUACUGGAGAGAUGAACUGCCCAUGUGGAGAUGAUAAACAUCACAUGGUGUUUUAAGUGAAUACAACACUUGAGCUCACAGCAAUAGCAACAGGAGGUAGCUCUGAAAUUAUGGUAGUAGUGCAGUAGGUACUAUAGUUAAUCUUAUCCCGUUGUAAUUUAGUACUGCAUCUUUAUGUUUGUCUCAACUGCAAA